GCCCGCCUAGCUCAAUCGGCCAGAGCGUCAGACUUUUAAGACUAGAGAUCUGAAGGCUGCGAGUUCGACCCUCGCGGUGGGCU
rfam:Coniophora puteana RWD-64-598 SS2 unplaced genomic scaffold CONPTscaffold_6, whole genome shotgun sequence.